CGGGUCGGUCGGGCAGUCGCUCGGGGCCUUUCGCCCCGAGAGGAAAGUCCGGGCUCCAUAGGGCGCGGUGCUGGUUAAAGGCCAGCGAAGGCGACUUCGGGAAAGCGCAACAGAGAGGAGACCGCCUCUUUGACAAGGCCGCGGGCCUUCAAGAGAGGUAAGGGUGAAAGGGUGAGGCAAGAGCUCACCGGCCGCCUGGGCGACCAGGCGGGCCAGGCAAACCCCACUGGGAGCAAGACCUAAUAGAAAACGAUAAGACGGCCCGUCUUGUUUUCGGGUAGGUCGCUCGCCCGCCGGAGAGAUCCGGCGGCUAGACGAAUGGCUGCCAAGCCCUCAACGACUAUUAGCUUGGGGGCUAUACAGAACCCGGCUUAUAGACUGACCCGGCUU
rnacentral:RNase_P_RNA from 1 species